rnacentral:rRNA from 1 species
AAACGACUCUCGGCAACGGAUAUCCCGGCUCUCGCAUCGAUGAAGAACGUAGCGAAAUGCGAUACUUGGUGUGAAUUGCAGAAUCCCGUGAACCAUCGAGUCUUUGAACGCAAGUUGCGCCUGAGGCCAUUUGGUUAAAGGCACGUCUGCCUGGGUGUUACGU